AGGGCAGUAGCUGGGUCAAAUUGUGGUUCCAUUCCCAGCUUUUCCAGGAAUCUCCAUACUGCUUUCCAAAUUGGCCACACCAAUUUGCUUUCCCACCAGCAAU
rnacentral:pre_miRNA from 1 species